UACGUAGGGGGCAAGCGUUGUCCGGAAUUAUUGGGCGUAAAGAGCGUGUAGGCGGCUCGUUAAGUCCGCUGUGAAAGUCCAGGGCUCAACCCUGGAAUGCCGGUGGAAACUGUCGAGCUAGAGUCCGGAAGAGGCGAGUGGAAUUCCUGGUGUAGCGGUGAAAUGCGCAGAUAUCAGGAGGAACACCAAUGGCGAAGGCAGCUCGCUGGGACGGUACUGACGCUGAGACGCGAAAGCGUGGGGAGCAAACAGG
rnacentral:rRNA from 1 species